UACGUAGGGAGCAAGCGUUGUUCGGAAUUACUGGGCGUAAAGGGCGCGUAGGCGGGUCUUUAAGUCAGGGGUGAAAUCCCGAGGCUCAACCUCGGAACUGCCUUUGAUACUGGAGAUCUUGAGUUCGGGAGAGGUGAGUGGAACUGCGAGUGUAGAGGUGAAAUUCGUAGAUAUUCGCAAGAACACCAGUGGCGAAGGCGGCUCACUGGCCCGGUACUGACGCUGAGGCGCGAAAGCGUGGGGAGCAAACAGG
rnacentral:rRNA from 1 species